rnacentral:rRNA from 1 species
CCUACGGGGGGCUGCAGUAAGGAAUUUUCGGCAAUGGGCGCAAGCCUGACCGAGCAACGCCGCGUGGAGGACGACGGCCUUCGGGUUGUAAACUCCUUUUCGGGGGGAAGAUAUCGACGGUACCCCCGGAAUAAGGCUCGGCUAACUCUGUGCCAGCAGCCGCGGUAAGACAGAGGAGCCAAGCGUUGUCCGGAUUGACUGGGCGUAAAGGGCACGCAGGCGGCCACGCGCGUGGGGUGUGAAAACCGCUGGCUUAACUGGCGGAGGCCACCUCAUACGGCGCGGCUCGAGCCGUGCAGAGGUCCGUGGAAUUGCCGGUGUAGUGGUGAAAUGCGUAGAGAUCGGCAGGAACACCAAGGGGGAAACCAGCGGACUGGGCACGUGCUGACGCUCAGGUGCGAAAGCGUGGGGAGCGAACAGGAUUAGAUACCCCAGUAGUC